AGCCACUGUUCUCUAAGUUCUUCCUCUGUCUCUCUUUGAGCACUCAUCAGUCAUUAAAACCUCUUCCUCUCAUGACCAUCUCAUGGAAACCUUCCCUUCCUCUUCUUUGCACUAUCUUCAAAUACCAUUUUUGAAAAAAACUUUGAAAAAAAAUCUUUUUCUUUAUUUCUGUUUCUACUUCUCCUCCUCCUUCCAAUGAAACCCUUCCCAAAGCACCAUCACUAGCCUUCAAAAAGGUCUCGCUUAGGUCUCCCAUACUAGGUGUUGCGGCUAAUUUUUUUGUUAACGAAGUGGGCAGGGGUCUCUAUCUUUGUGGGUGUGUUGCCCUUCCGGGUGCUCUUGACCUAGCGAGUCUAUUAAUAAGAAAAUAAAAAUUGGCAUGUUUCGAGCGGAAGUGGGAAAGAGGAAGAGCUCAACUGUGAGUAUUUCCCUUUCAGGGACGUGGGACAGGAGAUGAUUUUCUGAGUUUGCCCUGUUGGCUUGCCCAAUGGUCAUAGUGCCUCAUAUCACAAUUUAAUUUGAACUCUUCUCUUUCAAGGAUUCAUUCAGGGAUUAGAGUGGAAUGGAAAUUUCACCUAUGCUCGCCAUAUCUAUCUGAAAUUCAUAUAUAUGCUGAUUGUUAUUAUUUUCAAUGACAAAGCCUUUGAUUUAGUAUGACAGUGUGUGAUUGGCAGCAGCCUUAGAGCUAGGCAAUGAGCCUUUUAAAGGUUUUCUAUUUUCUUCUCUGUUUUAUUUGUUUUAGUUUAUUUUAUGGCUCCUCUCAAUACGUGGGCUUGAUAAAGAGUGUAAAUUUGUUCGAGUCCCAAGGGGGCCUCAUUAUAUUCUCUCAAGUAUGAUUUUGAGUAUCCCAUUUUGUGGCA